ACGGGUGCGGAACACGUGUGCACCUGCCUUAUCUGGAUAGCUUUCGAAGAGAUUAAUACCCCAUAUAUGUUGAAUGGCAUCAUUCGAGAUUGAAACUCCGGUGAUAGAGAUGGCACGCGCAGAUAAAUAGUGUGAGGUACGGUCACAGUCUACAUCUUAGGGGGCUGAAGGUGAUUCCCCACAACUGGUACUGAAAACCGGGACCAAAUCUUACGGAGGCAAUGAGGAAUUAUUUGGGACAAUGGGGUUGAAGAAGCCCUGAUUCCAGCCAAUCCCGCGUUGAAAGGGACGAACUGCCCUUAUUGGGGUUGUAAACUUCUUUUUGUAUAGGGAUAAAACCUACCCUCGUUGAAGGGUAGCUGAAGGUACUAUAACGAAUAAGCACCGGCUAACUCCGUGCCAAGCAGCCGCGGUAAUACGGAGGGUGCAAGCGUUAUCCGGAUUUAUUGGGUUCAAAGGGUCCCGUAGCGGAUCUGUAAGUCAGGUGGUGAAAUCUCACAGCUUAACUGUGAAACUGCCAUUGAUACUGCAGGUCUUGAGUGUUGUUGAAGUAGCUGGAAUAAGUAGUGUAGCGGUGAAAUGCAUAGAUUUACUUAGAAC
rnacentral:rRNA from 1 species